GCUGGGAGCAGUGGUGCACACCUGUAAUCCCAGUGGCUCAGGAGGCUGAGGCAGGAGGAUCACGAGCUCAAAGCCAGCCUCAGCAACAGGAAGGCACCAAGCAACUCACUGAGACCCUGUCUCUA
rnacentral:sRNA from 1 species